AACGAACGCUGGCGGCAUGCCUAACACAUGCAAGUCGAACGAAGCCUUCGGGCUUAGUGGCGCACGGGUGCGUAACGCGUGGGAAUCUGCCCUUUGGUUCGGAAUAACAGUUGGAAACGACUGCUAAUACCGGAUGAUGACGAAAGUCCAAAGAUUUAUCGCCAGAGGAUGAGCCCGCGUAGGAUUAGCUAGUUGGUGUGGUAAAGGCGCACCAAGGCGACGAUCCUUAGCUGGUCUGGGAGGAUAAUCAGCCACACUGGGACUGAGACACGGCCCAGACUCCUACGGGAGGCAGCAGUGGGGAAUAUUGGACAAUGGGCGAAAGCCUGAUCCAGCAAUGCCGCGUGAGUGAUGAAGGCCUUAGGGUUGUAAAGCUCUUUUACCCGGGAUGAUAAUGACAGUACCGGGAGAAUAAGCUCCGGCUAACUCCGUGCCAGCCGCCGCAGUAA
rnacentral:rRNA from 1 species